rnacentral:rRNA from 1 species
UACAGAGGGUGCGAGCGUUGUUCGGAAUUAUUGGGCGUAAAGGGCGCGUAGGCGGUGCGGUAAGUCACCUGUGAAAUCUCCUGGCUCAACUGGGAGCUUGCAGGCGAAACUGCCGUGCUGGAGUGUGGGAGAGGUGCGUGGAAUUCCUGGUGUAGCGGUGAAAUGCGUAGAUAUCAGGAGGAACACCUGUGGCGAAAGCGGCGCACUGGACCACAACUGGCGCUGAGGCGCGAAAGCUAGGGGAGCAAACAGG